rnacentral:rRNA from 1 species
CAUUUAUAUUUUUCCUUUUUUUUUAACCGGCGUCCUAUGUUACUUUUCUAUAUGGAUUUUUCCCCUCUCUCAGGACGAACGCUGGCGGCGUGCUUAACACAUGCAAGUCGAGCGGUAAGGCCUUUCGGGGUACACGAGCGGCGAACGGGUGAGUAACACGUGGGUGAUCUGCCCUGCACUUCGGGAUAAGCCUGGGAAACUGGGUCUAAUACCGGAUAUGACCUCCUAUCGCAUGGUGGGUGGUGGAAAGAUUUAUCGGUGCAGGAUGGGCCCGCGGCCUAUCAGCUUGUUGGUGGGGUAAUGGCCUACCAAGGCGACGACGGGUAGCCGACCUGAGAGGGUGACCGGCCACACUGGGACUGAGACACGGCCCAGACUCCUACGGGAGGCAGCAGUGGGGAAUAUUGCACAAUGGGCGAAAGCCUGAUGCAGCGACGCCGCGUGAGGGAUGACGGCCUUCGGGUUGUAAACCUCUUUCAGCAGGGACGAAGCGCAAGUGACGGUACCUGCAGAAGAAGCACCGGCUAACUACGUGCCAGCAGCCGCGGUAAUACGUAGGGUGCAAGCGUUGUCCGGAAUUACUGGGCGUAAAGAGUUCGUAGGCGGUUUGUCGCGUCGUUUGUGAAAACCAGCAGCUCAACUGCUGGCUUGCAGGCGAUACGGGCAGACUUGAGUACUGCAGGGGAGACUGGAAUUCCUGGUGUAGCGGUGAAAUGCGCAGAUAUCAGGAGGAACACCGGUGGCGAAGGCGGGUCUCUGGGCAGUAACUGACGCUGAGGAACGAAAGCGUGGGUAGCGAACAGGAUUAGAUACCCUGGUAGUCCACGCCGUAAACGGUGGGCGCUAGGUGUGGGUUCCUUCCACGGAAUCCGUGCCGUAGCUAACGCAUAAGCGCCCCGCCUGGAUACCCCAAACCC